UACGGGGGGAGCAAGCGUUGUUCGGAUUUACUGGGCGUAAAGAGCGCGCAGGCGGCCAAGUCAGUCGAAUGUGAAAGCCCCCGGCUCAACUGGGGAGGGUCAUUCGAUACUGCUCGGCUCGAAGACAGGAGAGGGAAGUGGAAUUCCCGGUGUAGUGGUGAAAUGCGUAGAUAUCGGGAGGAACACCAGUGGCGAAGGCGACUUUCUGGCCUGUUCUUGACGCUGAGGCGCGAAAGCUAGGGGAGCAAACGGG
rnacentral:rRNA from 1 species